rnacentral:rRNA from 1 species
UUAAUUGAAGAGUUUGAUCAUGGCUCAGAUUGAACGCUGGCGGCAGGCCUAACACAUGCAAGUCGAGCGGUAACAGAGAGUAGCUUGCUACUUUGCUGACGAGCGGCGGACGGGUGAGUAAUGCUUGGGAACAUGCCUUGAGGUGGGGGACAACAGUUGGAAACGACUGCUAAUACCGCAUAAUGUCUACGGACCAAAGGGGGCUUCGGCUCUCGCCUUUAGAUUGGCCCAAGUGGGAUUAGCUAGUUGGUGAGGUAAUGGCUCACCAAGGCGACGAUCCCUAGCUGGUUUGA